rnacentral:rRNA from 1 species
CCUACGGGAGGCAGCAGUGAGGAAUAUUGGUCAAUGGACGAGAGUCUGAACCAGCCAAGUAGCGUGAAGGAUGACUGCCCUAUGGGUUGUAAACUUCUUUUAUAUGGGAAUAAAAUGUUCCACGUGUGGGAUUUUGUAUGUACCAUAUGAAUAAGGAUCGGCUAACUCCGUGCCAGCAGCCGCGGUAAUUCGGAGGAUCCGAGCGUUAUCCGGAUUUAUUGGGUUUAAAGGGAGCGUAGGUGGAUUUUUCAGGCAGUUGUGAAAGUUUGCGGCUCAACCGUCAAAUUGCAGUUGAAACUGGCAGUCUUGAGUACAGUAGAGGUGGGCGGAAUUCGUGGUGUAGCGGUGAAAUGCUUAGAUAUCACGAAGAACUCCGAUUGCGAAGGCAGUUCACUGGACUGCAACUGACACUGAGGCUCGAAAGUGUGGGUAUCAAACAGGAUUAGAGACCCUUGUAGUC